UGAGGAAUAUUCCACAAUGGGCGCAAGCCUGAUGGAGCGAUGCCGCGUGAGUGAUGAAGGCCUUCGGGUUGUAAAGCUCUUUGAACGGAGAAUAAAGAGGUUUAGCUAAUACCUAAAUCUUAUGAAGGUAUCCGGCAAACAAGCACCGGCUAACCCCGUGCCAGCAGCUGCGGUAAUACGGGGGGUGCAAGCGUUGAUCGGAUUGACUGGGCGUAAAGGGAGCGUAGGCGGUCGGAAAAGUAGGGUGUGAAAUCUUGAGGCUUAACCUCAAAACGGCACCCUAAACUUUCUGACUAGAGGGUGGUAGGGGAAAACAGAAUUCUGCAUGUAGCGGUGAAAUGCGUAGAUAUGCAGAGGAAUACCGGUGGCGAAGGCGGUUUUCUGUACCAUUCCUGACGCUGAGGCUCGAAAGCGUGGGGAUCAAACAGG
rnacentral:rRNA from 1 species